GUGUUAAGAUCUUGUUUAGCUCAGUUAGAUAUGAUUGUGAGUGAUAACAGAUCAUUGUGUUAAUGAUUUGUUAGCGAGUUGAGAUCUGUUUUGUAUAUCUUGAAACGUUUAGUUGUUCUGAGGUUCAUAAUAAAGUGUUCUAUAGUUGAUACAUGUUAUUUUGACAUGGUAUUAGAGCAUAGUUGAUGCUCUUGGGGUAUUGCUUUCGUUGAAAGCUUGUUUCUCUAUCAUCAGAAAUUAGGGUUUUCUAAAAUUUAGAGUUUUUUGUUCAGAUUUUUUUUGAGGUUAGAUAUGCAUAGAUUGUGCUAGAUCUAGUUAAUAUUCGUAGAAGGUUUGGUUUCAUCUAAGAUCUUUGUUGGCCAUGGUAAAUUUAUUGUUUGCCGGUCACAGAUCUGGUGGGAUUCAUUCUUUGCUGGGUGCGGAUCUGAAGAAUAAAAUAAGGAAGCUGUUGUUUUAAUCAAGGGUUCAACCCAAGAAGGUUGUAAAACCCUCAUUGGAACUAGAGAAAACCCUUGCUGAGAUUUUUUGCAAAUUUGGUGAGAUCUUUCCUUUUCUUGAUUUACUUUGCAGGUCUGCAUUAGGCAUUGUUGUUGUUGGGUUAGUCAGACCAGUGGUUGAUUAAUUAGGAUACAUAGAGGGUUCACCCUAUUGCAUAUUUUGUGCAUUUGUUUUUGUUGUUUUCUUGCAACUUGGUUUGUUUGUGCAUUUCUUGUUUGUGUCAAGGUCAUAACUCAUGUGCAAAGGCUUGGGUAGGAACCUUUGAGUGAUGAACCUACUAUCUAGUCCCUGGCAUAGUUUCGUUGUCUAGCAUAUUGUGUGGUUGUUCUUAUUUUCAAAAUUAUUGAUUGAUUAUUGUUUGCUGUGAUUGUUAAUUUUGUUAGAUUAAUGGAUUGUUGACAUUUCAAAUGGUUGAUCUUGAAAAUCUUUUUGGUGAAACUUUGAUUAGUAAGCUUGAACUUGAUAAUCCUUUGUACUUACAUGCUAGUGAUUCCACAAAUCUAACUAAAAAUUUGCUUAUUACAGAGCCUCUUCCUAGUGUGAAAGAAGCUUUUUCUAUUAUAUCUAGGGAAGAGUCCCAUAGGAAGUCAAAUGCAAGUAUGACCAAAGAACAAAAUGUUGGUUUCUUUUCAAAAUAUAAUAUUGUAAUUAAAUAUUAUGAAUUAGCAACAAGAUUAGGCAUCAGGUAGUUGUACUGCUUGCAAUAUGGGUUUUAUGAGCUAUUAUGUAUUGUACAUUUAGGAGUGUUGUUUGUUACUUCAACUAAGCCAUAGACGUGUCCUCCUACAUGUUUCUUUUGAUACACGUGUAUUUGUAUGGCAGCCUUAUCUAUCCAUAUUACUCUCAUCUUCCAGUUCUCUCUCUAGAUAUCACAACUUUCUUCUCUCUACUCUUUUCCCAGCAACUAUGCCGGUCCCAUGGCGGGGUUUCAAGAGAGAGAAAUAGAGAGCAAGUUGGGUAAGGUCCGCCGUUGCCACGGCUCUGGCCUUCGAUGGCGGCGACGGAAUUACCCCGUCGUUGCCGGUGGCCGGUCGUAUAUGGUGGCGGCGGAAGGUGAUGAUGAUGAGUUGGACCUCAUCUGAGCCUCGAUGGAUGAGACGGUAUUGUUUUCGAACAAGCGCCUUGGGUUUUAAGGCCACCAACCAUACCUGAUUCUGGAAUGCUUGAGUAUUUCUAUGUAAAAUCGAUGACGAAGAUCUAAAUUUCAUCCGAAAUUAUCAAAAAAGGGUGGUGAUGUUGGGGUAAACCAUACCUGAACCCUAAUCGCUUAAGUUUUUACCUUUUUGCAUCCUUUACAUGUUUUCAACAUGUUACGGAUUCUUUGAAGCUAUGAUGGAUUUCCUGAGCUUCUUGCGGUUUAGGUCGACGGUGGUGGUUGUGAAAUAAUGUUGGUGUUGGGUGUACUGAUUUCGUGUUGUUGUUGACGGUUGUUUGGGGUUUGAAAAACGGAAGUGUGGUGAUAUACAGGUUUAAUCAUACAAUAUUACAAUAAACAGAGGUUUUUUAAAGGGUGAAAAGAACGGUGGCAUGAUGGUGGUUACUGGUUAGAUAGUGGUUAAGCGAUGGUAUGCAUGUUGAAGAUAGAGGUAGAAAAUGAGGUUUUUAAUUUUAAAAAUAAGAUGGCAUACAGUAGUUGCAGCUUUAUUGCAUACUAUUGUUCACACCAAAAUUGUACAUCAAUAUUUUAUUUUAAUUAUUGUCUUGGACUAUUGGAAUA